rnacentral:rRNA from 1 species
CCUACGGGAGGCAGCAGUGAGGAAUAUUGGUCAAUGGGCGUAAGCCUGAACCAGCCAAGUCGCGUGAGGGAUGACGGUCCUAUGGAUCGUAAACCUCUUUUAUAAGGGAAUAAAGUGCGGGACGUGUCCCGUUUUGUAUGUACCUUAUGAAUAAGGAACGGCUAACGCCGGUCCAGCAGCCCCGGGAAUAAGGAGGAUCCGAGCGUUAUCCGGAUUUUUUGGGUUUAAAGGGUGCGUAGGCGGCAUUUUAAGUCAGCGGUGAAAGUCUGGGGCUCAACCCUAGAAUUGCCGUUGAAACUGGUAGGCUUGAGUGUGUGUGAGGUAGGCGGAAUGCGUGGUGUAGCGGUGAAAUGCUUAGAUAUCACGCAGAACCCCGAUUGCGAAGGCAGCCUGCCGAGCCACGACUGACGCUGAUGCACGAAAGCGUGGGGAUCAAACAGGAUUAGAUACCCUUGUAGUC